AAGAAUUUGGAUUCUUUGUGAUUGCAAGUUUUCCAUCAUAUGUGCUCUUCAGAACGUCUGGUUUCCUCAGUAUUCGAGGUCCUACCGGAACAUUUCGAGUCUUUGGCCGAAUAUCCUGCGUGAACAUAAAGAAAUCAUUUCAUGUUCCUUCCUUCCUUAGUUAUUCGCUAUCAAGAACAGAGCAAACUCUGGCUUCUCUAAAAAAGUUUUUUUUUUUUAAAUGUCAAACCUGAUCAAAGAUGGCAGUGGGUAUUGCAAGUGUAGCAACUGCAUUUGGAGAAUCGACUAUCCCAGAUAUUCUCCCUUCGCAUGGGAAACAUGAGAGUAAGAGAGACCAGUACCUGUUCUUUUGAGUAGCCGAAUUUGAAGAGAUAGUCUAUGGCGUUGAGAACUGCUCGUUUGUAAGCAACUGUUGCGUCUAAGUAGUGUUGUCUCCCACUCUCAUCGACACUGAUACCCUCAAAGACCAGCCACUCUGAGAAUCUCGGUUCCACUGGACCUAUCUCAAAGAUCGGGUUUACAUGGAGAGGGGUUGGUCCCAUUGGUGUAAGGAAGAAGUGCAGUGAGGAACUUAUGUACAUACUUGAGUUCUAGAAAUCCACUCAUCUCGAUGGCACCGCAGAAGGAGAUCUCACCAUCACCUUGCGAGAAAUGCAUAUCACCAGUGCUUAAAUUUGCCCCUUCUACAAACACUGGAAGGUAUAUUUUAGAGCCUCUGCUUAGGUUCUUUAUGUCACAGUUUCCUCCGUUUUCUCUUCCUGGGAUUGUCCUCGCAGCCUCCUUCGCAACCCUUUCCCAUUCCACUGUUCCCUCUUCAAUCUACAAAAGGAUUAUGUAAGAAUCCCCAAGAGUUCAAGGAGUUCUUUUGUUGGAGCUGUGCCAAUUAUUCCUGGGUGUGUCAAACCCGGAAACCGUACUCCUACCGUGCCGUGAUGCGAUUUAUAUUAGCAUGUCAAUAAUCAGUACAACAUCUCAUAACAAGGGCAGCUACAUGGUUAUGUUCUUACCUGGAAUUUGAGGAGAGUAAGCAUAAAUGCCUUCAAAGUACCAAAUAGCUUUGGUCGCACAAGGGAAAUGGUCAGUCAAGAAACCGCCACCAUUCUCUCUAUCAAAUGAACCAGUGAAUCCCCAUUCAUCUCCUGGAAGAGGACCCAAAUUGCAUAUCUCAACAACAAGAAGAUCACCUGGCUUGGCUGCAACACCAUCCUCAUCCACAACUUUGAUCGGCCCACUCAGUAGAGAGGUCUAUGCUCUUAAUAUCAUCAGCAGAACCAUCGUCUUUGACUGCACCUCCGGUCCAGUCAACCAUUUCCACCCUAAACAACUCACCAACCUUGACCUCUGCAACUGGUUGGAUCUCAGGAUGCCAUCUAUUAUGCAGAGGCUGAUUCUGCUGCCAUGGCUUCUUCUUCAAAUCCACCUUCACCACCACACGUGGACUUGCUGGAGCCAUCAAACCGAACUCAAUGACAAGAAGUUGAAAAUAAUAUUACAUUGACUUAUGUUAUGGAGAGGAUCUCUGUUAUGUACAUAUAGGAGGAGCUCAUGACGGGGAAUCUUACAUUCGAGUUAUUAAUUCUAAUUCAAUGUAAGCUAUUUUGAUACAAAAUUUAAUGCAUUCACCCAGAAAAUAGUGCAUAUAAAGAUUAAGGACGCAAUUCAUUACCCUCCGGUUUCGUGAUUUGGAAUUUCCG